rnacentral:tRNA from 1 species
UCAUCAGUAGCUCAGUGGUAGAGCGCUCGACUGUUAACUCACUGGUCGUAGGUUCAAAUCCUACUUGGGGAG